CCAACGGCAGCUGAGUGAAAGCAAGCUGACUGGCCUGUGUGACCAGAGCAGGGCAGGCUGUCCAUGUGGGAGGCGAGUUCUGUAGUUUCGAAGUUCAGCGUGGGUCUCACUGGUCUAAAAUCAAAGUGUCAGUGGGGCUAGGUUCCUUCUGGAUGCUCUGGGGAAGAAUCCAUUUCCUUGCCCUUUCUGGCUUCUAGAGGCUGCCUGAAUACCUUGACUCACGGCCCCUCCCUCCAUCUUCAAAGCCAGCAACAGCCUGUUUUCCUCACGUGGAUUCACUCUGACCUCCACAUAUCCUGCAGCUCCUGAAAGGCAAGCUGGUGGUGGGUCAUGACCUGAAGCACGACUUCCAGGCACUGAAAGAGGACAUGAGCGGCUACACAAUCUACGACACGUCCACUGACAGGCUGUUGUGGCGUGAGGCCAAGCUGGACCACUGCAGGCGUGUCUCCCUGCGGGUGCUGAGUGAGCGCCUCCUGCACAAGAGCAUCCAGAACAGCCUGCUUGGACACAGCUCGGUGGAAGAUGCGAGGGCAACGAUGGAGCUCUAUCAAAUCUCCCAGAGAAUCCGAGCCCGCCGAGGGCUGCCCCGCCUGGCUGUGUCAGACUGAAGCCCCAUCCAGCCCGUUCCGCAGGGACUAGAGGCUUUCGGCUUUUUGGGACAGCAACUACCUUGCUUUUGGAAAAUACAUUUUUAAUAGUAAAGUGGCUCUAUAUUUUCUCUACGCCA
rnacentral:sRNA from 1 species